AGUGAACGCUGGCGGUAGGCCUAACACAUGCAAGUCGAACGGCAGCACAGUAAGAGCUUGCUCUUACGGGUGGCGAGUGGCGGACGGGUGAGGAAUACAUCGGAAUCUACUUUUUCGUGGGGGAUAACGUAGGGAAACUUACGCUAAUACCGCAUACGACCUACGGGUGAAAGCAGGGGAUCUUCGGACCUUGCGCGAUUGAAUGAGCCGAUGUCGGAUGAGCUAGUUGGCGGGGUAAAGGCCCACCAAGGCGACGAUCCGUAGCUGGUCUGAGAGGAUGAUCAGCCACACUGGAACUGAGACACGGUCCAGACUCCUACGGGAGGCAGCAGUGGGGAAUAUUGGACAAUGGGCGCAAGCCUGAUCCAGCCAUACCGCGUGGGUGACGAAGGCCUUCGGGUUGUAAAGCCCUUUUGUUGGGAAAGAAAAGCAGCAGGUUAAUACCCCGCUGUUCUGACGGUACCCAAAGAAUAAGCACCGGCUAACUUCGUG
rnacentral:rRNA from 1 species